rnacentral:snRNA from 1 species
AGAUUUGUGCCACGGCAGUAUCGUAGCCAAUGAAGUUUAUCCAAGGUGCGAUUAUUGCUAAAAGAAUUGUUGCAAAUGUUUUAAAUAACAAAACUGGCAUAAUGUUUGUAUACUACUUGGCAUCUCCCUUUCUCCAUGUUG